ACGGAGGGUGCGAGCGUUGUCCGGAAUCACUGGGCGUAAAGGGCGCGUAGGCGGCUUGGGAAGUCCGUGGUGAAAGCUCGUGGCUCAACUACGAGUCGGCCAUGGAUACUCCUAAGCUCGAGUCGACUAGAGGCAGAUGGAAUUCCGGGUGUAGCGGUGGAAUGCGUAGAGAUCCGGAAGAACACCGGUGGCGAAGGCGGUCUGCUGGGCAGUAGCUGACGCUGAGGCGCGAUAGCGUGGGGAGCAAACAGGA
rnacentral:rRNA from 1 species